GAAGCCCUGCUCUAUUCGAAGUCUUAAGUUCCACUUGAGAGGUUUAUGUAGAAUAGAACGGGGCUAC
rnacentral:ncRNA from 1 species